rnacentral:rRNA from 1 species
AGAGUUUGAUCAUGGCUCAGAGUGAACGCUGGCGGCAGGCCUAAUACAUGCAAGUCGAACGGCAGCACAGUGGAGCUUGCUCCAUGGGUGGCGAGUGGCGGACGGGUGAGGAAUACGUGGGAAUCUGCCCAGUCGUGGGGGAUAACGUAGGGAAACUUACGCUAAUACCGCAUGCGCCCUUCGGGGGAAAGCCGGGGACCUUCGGGCCUGGCGCGAUUGGAUGAGCCCACGUCGGAUUAGCUAGUUGGCGGGGUAACGGCCCACCAAGGCGACGAUCCGUAGCUGGUCUGAGAGGAUGAUCAGCCACACUGGAACUGAGACACGGUCCAGACUCCUACGGGAGGCAGCAGUAGGGAAUAUUGGACAAUGGGCGCAAGCCUGAUCCAGCCAUGCCGCGUGAGUGAAGAAGGCCCUCGGGUUGUAAAGCUCUUUUGUCCGGAAAGAAAAGCAUUCGGUUAAUACCCGGGUGUUCUGACGGUACCGGAAGAAUAAGCACCGGCUAACUUCGUGCCAGCAGCCGCGGUAAUACGAAGGGUGCAAGCGUUACUCGGAAUUACUGGGCGUAAAGCGUGCGUAGGUGGUUUGUUAAGUCUGAUGUGAAAGCCCUGGGCUCAACCUGGGAAUGGCAUUGGAUACUGGCAGGCUAGAGUGCGGUAGAGGGUAGUGGAAUUCCCGGUGUAGCAGUGAAAUGCGUAGAGAUCGGGAGGAACAUCUGUGGCGAAGGCGACUGCCUGGACCAGCACUGACACUGAGGCACGAAAGCGUGGGGAGCAAACAGGAUUAGAUACCCCGGUAGU